UAUUAAAGCACACUUACGCAUAUUUGUUGGUAUUUUUUUCGCAAAGAAGUUAAGCAUGCUUUGGGUCCAGUUCAAGUCAAGGUUUGAGACAAUGCAAAUGAGCCGAACUCUUCCCUGACUGCAGUGGUUUGGAAGGUGCCUCAGUCCCCUACCUUUAGCCCCAUCUGUCCUAUAUUGUCCACUAAAUGUUUUUCCUUGCAGCUUCACCUCCUCAACGAACGUCGACUACGGAGAGUUCCUGGUGAGCGUCAACGGUUUGUUUGGGAACGAUGUGUGUGUAUCUACGAUAAAUGAUCUUCU
rnacentral:lncRNA from 1 species